AGAAGCUCCAAGAUUAAUCGAGAGUGGUUUCCAAUUCUUGUUGAUGGAUACAAAUGCUCAGCUUUGGUAUAUUAUCAGAGAGUAUAUCUCCAAUUCAGAGGUACAUUUGACGAGAUAAUUAUUGUGUUCUGCUUGGAACUUGUUUGUUAGAGCUAUUGUGUUUUACUGUUGUUAAGUUCUUGAAGGGGAAAUUGGCAUGAAUUUAUUGUAAAUUUUUA